rnacentral:rRNA from 1 species
AGCGUUGUCCGGAUUUAUUGGGCGUAAAGAGCGUGUAGGCGGCUAGAUAGGUCCGUUGUGAAAACUCGAGGCUCAACCUCGAGACGCCGGUGGAAACCAUCUAGCUAGAGUCCGGAAGAGGAGAGUGGAAUUCCUGGUGUAGCGGUGAAAUGCGCAGAUAUCAGGAAGAACACCCGUGGCGAAGGCGGCUCUCUGGUACGUGACUGACGCUGAGACGCGAAAGCGUGGGGAGCGAACAGG